GAUGAAGAACGCAGUGAAAUGCGAUAAGUAAUGUGAAUUGCAGAAUUCAGUGAAUCAUCGAAUCUUUGAACGCACAUUGCGCCCGGUAGUAUUCUGCCGGGCAUGCCUGUUCGAGCGUCAUUUCAACCAUCAAGCCCCAGCGCUUGUGUUGGGGGCCUGCGGCUGCCGCAGCCCCCCAAAAGCAGUGGCGGGCUCGCUAUCACACCGAGUGCAGUAGUUCAUCUUCUCUCCGGUCUUGUGAGGCGGGUUCCGGCCGUGAAACACCCCACUACAUUCAAGGUUGACCUCUGAUCAGGUAGGAAUACCCGCUGAACUUAAGCAUAUCAAUAAGCGGAGGA
rnacentral:misc_RNA from 1 species